UGCUAUUGGCGUUCGCUACUUCGAUCUCACCAACCCCUGUUCGCUCUCCAUCCCCUGUUCGCUCUCACGAAUCGCCUGGUCGCCGUCGUCCGCGCGCUCAACAGCUCUUCGUCGUCCGUCGAAGAUGUUGAGGGACUCUUAAGCUUAUAUGAAGCUUCACAUCUUAGGAUUCAUGGAGAAGACAUAUUAGAUGAAGCUCUUUGAUUCACCUUAAAUCCAUUGAUCUUUGUUGCCUAUGUUAGUUAGUGUUUGUUGAUGGCCUGGAGUUUUGAGCUGUUUGUUAGAUGAGUUUAGUUGUGAUAAAUUUUGAUAACUGUUAUAUUUUGAGAAGGUUUGGUUCAGUAAUUAGGUUGAGCUUGAGUUUAGAUUGUGAUAAAUUUUGAUAAUUGUUAUGUUUUGAGAAGGUUUGAUUCGGUGAUUAGGUUGAACUUAAUUGUAGAAGAGGUCUUGCUACUCAGUUGUAAGAUUGUACAGUAUUAACUUAUUAAAUGAUUAGAAUUGCAUUUUGUUUGAACAAAAUUGCAUUUUGUU